rnacentral:rRNA from 1 species
CCUACGGGAGGCAGCAGUGGGGAAUAUUGCACAAUGGGGGAAACCCUGAUGCAGCGACGCCGCGUGAGUGAAGAAGUAUUUCGGUACGUAAAGCUCUAUCAGCAGGGAAGAAAAAAAGUCCGUUGGACUUUGGACGGUACCUGACUAAGAAGCCCCGGCUAACUACGUGCCAGCAGCCGCGGUAAUACGGAGGUGGCAAGCGUUAUCCGGAUUUACUGGGUGUAAAGGGAGCGUAGACGGCAGCGCAAGUCUGGAGUGAAAUGCCGGGGCCCAACCCCGGAACUGCUUUGGAAACUGUGCAGCUGGAGUGCAGGAGAGGUGAGCGGAAUUCCUAGUGUAGCGGUGAAAUGCGUAGAUAUUAGGAGGAACACCAGUGGCGAUGGCGGCUUACUGGACUGUAACUGACGUUGAGGCUCGAAAGCGUGGGGAGCAAACAGGAUUAGAUACCCGUGUAGUC